rnacentral:rRNA from 1 species
CACGUAGGGCGCGAGCGUUGUCCGGAAUUAUUGGGCGUAAAGAGCUCGUAGGCGGCCUGUUGCGUCCGCUGUGAAAGCCCGGGGCUUAACCCCGGGUCGGCAGUGGAUACGGGCAGGCUAGAGGUAGGUAGGGGAGAAUGGAAUUCCCGGUGUAGCGGUGAAAUGCGCAGAUAUCGGGAGGAACACCUGUGGCGAAGGCGGCUCGCUGGGCCGGUCCUGACGCUGAAACGCGAAGGCGUGGGGAGCGAACGGG